rnacentral:rRNA from 1 species
GUGCCAGCCGCCGCGGUAACACGUAGGGGGCAAGCGUUGUCCGGAUUUAUUGGGCGUAAAGAGCUCGUAGGCGGCUCGGUAAGUUGGGUGUUAAACCCCCAGGCUUAACCUGGGGACGCCACCCGAUACUGCCGUGGCUAGAGUCCGGUAGGGGAGCGUGGAAUUCCUGGUGUAGCGGUGAAAUGCGCAGAUAUCAGGAGGAACACCAGCGGCGAAGGCGGCGCUCUGGGCCGGAACUGACGCUGAGGAGCGAAAGCGUGGGUAGCAAACAGGAUUAGAUACCCUGGUAGUCC